rnacentral:rRNA from 1 species
GAUGAACGCUGGCGGCGUGCCUAAUACAUGCAAGUCGAGCGAACAGAUGAGGAGCUUGCUCCUCUGACGUUAGCGGCGGACGGGUGAGUAACACGUGGAUAACCUACCUAUAAGACUGGGAUAACUUCGGGAAACCGGAGCUAAUACCGGAUAAUAUAUUGAACCGCAUGGUUCAAUAGUGAAAGACGGUUUUGCUGUCACUUAUAGAUGGAUCCGCGCCGCAUUAGCUAGUUGGUAAGGUAACGGCUUACCAAGGCAAAGAUGCGUAGCCGACCUGAGAGGGAGAUCGGCCACACUGGAAGUGAGACACGGUCCAGACUCCUACGGGAGGCAGCAGUAGGGAAUCUUCCGCAAUGGGGGAAAGGCUGACGGAGCAACGCCGCGUGAGUGAUGAAGGUCUUCGGAUCGUAAAACUCUGUUAGUAGGGAAAAACAAAUGUUUAAUUAACUAUGCACGUCUUGACGGUACCUAAACAAAAAGCCACGGCUAACUACGUG